rnacentral:rRNA from 1 species
CCCUUAGAUGUCCUGGGCCGCACGCGCGCUACACUGAGUGUCUGAGAUACGAGUCUGCCUGGUCCGGCAAGGUCUAGGUAAUCGCUAAAAGACACAUCAUGCUUGGGACAGAUUAUUGCAAAUAUUAAUCUUGAACGAGGAAUUCCUAGUAAGCGCAAGUCAACAGCUUGCGUUGAUUACGUCCCUGCCCUUUGUACACACCGCCCGUCGCUACUACUGAUUGGAUGUUUAAGCGAGGUUCUCGAACUGCUAGCGACUUAGCUUCGGUGAGGUCGCAGUGUGGGAAGUGAACCUAGCUUUGGUGUCUAGAGGAAGUAAAAGUCGUAACA